UCACUGUUACUUUCAAAGCUCGGUGUAAUCCAUCCAUGGAAGUCGAAUCAAAAACGACAAGGCAAAAACCGUUGAUAGUGAGAGAGUAUGUGAUAAAAUCGAAGCUUGGAGGAGGGUGUUUCUCUACAGUGUGGAAGGCCCAGCACAUCGUCAAUGGCGAUCAAGUUGUGGCGGUGAAGCAGGUUCAUCUCUCCCGUCUCAAUCGCCAUCUCAGGACCUGCUUGGACUGCGAACUCAACUUCCUCUCCUCCGUCAACCACCCCAACAUCGUUCGCCUCUUCCACGUCUUUCGGGAUAAAGAUUGCAUUUUCCUCGUCCUGGAAUAUUGUUCCGGUGGGAAUCUUGCUUCCUACAUUAGUCAGCAUGGGAGAGUUCAAGAACAAAUUGCGAGAAGAUUUAUGCAACAACUUGGGGCUGGUUUGGAAAUACUGCACUCACACCACAUCAUUCACAGGGACUUGAAACCCGAGAACAUUCUAUUAUCGGGCACAGAGGAGGAUCCGGUACUAAAAAUAGCGGAUUUUGGUCUGUCAAGAAGUGUGAAUCCGGGUGAGUAUGCUGAGACAGUAUGUGGAUCCCCAUUAUACAUGGCUCCUGAAGUUCUAGGAUUCCAAAGCUAUGAUGAAAAAGUUGACAUGUGGAGUCUUGGAGCAAUUCUUUUUGAGCUUCUCAAUGGGUACCCUCCUUUCCGUGGUAGAAAUAACGUUCAGCUAUUUUCAGGUACUGAAGAAUAUAAAGUCAAGUACACGUCUUCCAUUUUCUAAAGUAAUCCUUCCUGGAUUAAAUCCAGAUUGUGUUGACAUGUGUUUAAAACUGCUAUCUCUGAAUCCAGCAAACCGCUUGUCCUUUGAUGAGUUCUAUUGGCACAAGUUUUUGAGAAGAUAAGGAAUGGGAAUUUAAAGCAGUUCUUAGCAGUAAAAAGUGCUAUAUGAUCUUUGAUCUUGGGUGGAAAGAUAUUGUCAAAAAUGGUUAAAUUAAGUGCCGAUAAACCACGUAACCGAUCAGCACUCCAUGUUUGCCCUGCUACUCUAUGCAAAAGAAGUUGGGGAUCUUGGUGGUGUUUGAAUCUUUUCCGGGAUGUUUUGGCAAUUGUACAAGAUAGAGAAUUAUUUGUAAUUCUGUAUCUCAAGGUAGUACGUAAAAGUUGGUUUUUGGCAACUGGUACCAGAUCUAGAAGAUGGACCUGUAACUCUGUUGAGUUGAAAAAAAAAAAAAAAAAAGAGUUUUGACGAGCAAAAUUUAGUACGUUUAUGAAAAAGGUCUGUUUUUAUUUGAUCCAAUUAUUAUCUUGUUGUCUAGAUUUCCAUAUUGCUCAAGGA